AGAGUUUGAUCCUGGCUCAGGACGAACGCUGGCGGCGUGCCUAAUACAUGCAAGUAGAACGCUGAAGAGAGGAGCUUGCUCUUCUUGGAUGAGUUGCGAACGGGUGAGUAACGCGUAGGUAACCUGCCUUGUAGCGGGGGAUAACUAUUGGAAACGAUAGCUAAUACCGCAUAACAAUGGAUGACACAUGUCAUUUAUUUGAAAGGGGCAAUUGCUCCACUACAAGAUGGACCUGCGUUGUAUUAGCUAGUAGGUGAGGUAAUGGCUCACCUAGGCGACGAUACAUAGCCGACCUGAGAGGGUGAUCGGCCACACUGGGACUGAGACACGGCCCAGACUCCUACGGGAGGCAGCAGUAGGGAAUCUUCGGCAAUGGGGGCAACCCUGACCGAGCAACGCCGCGUGAGUGAAGAAGGUUUUCGGAUCGUAAAGCUCUGUUGUAAGUCAAGAACGGGUGUGAGAGUGGAAAGUUCACACUGUGACGGUAGCUUACCAGAAAGGGACGGCUAACUACGUGCCAGCAGCCGCGGUAAUACGUAGGUCCCGAGCGUUGUCCGAAUUUAUUGGGCGUAAAGCGAGCGCAGGCGGUUUGAUAAGUCUGAAGUUAAAGGCUGUGGCUCAACCAUAGUUCGCUUUGGAAACUGUCAAACUUGAGUGCAGAAGGGGAGAGUGGAAUUCCAUGUGUAGCGGUGAAAUGCGUAGAUAUAUGGAGGAACACCGGUGGCGAAAGCGGCUCUCUGGUCUGUAACUGACGCUGAGGCUCGAAAGCGUGGGGAGCGAACAGGAUUAGAUACCCUGGUAGUCCACGCCGUAAACGAUGAGUGCUAGGUGUUGGAUCCUUUCCGGGAUUCAGUGCCGCAGCUAACGCAUUAAGCACUCCGCCUGGGGAGUACGACCGCAAGGUUGAAACUCAAAGGAAUUGACGGGGGCCCGCACAAGCGGUGGAGCAUGUGGUUUAAUUCGAAGCAACGCGAAGAACCUUACCAGGUCUUGACAUCCCGAUGCUAUUUCUAGAGAUAGAAAGUUACUUCGGUACAUCGGUGACAGGUGGUGCAUGGUUGUCGUCAGCUCGUGUCGUGAGAUGUUGGGUUAAGUCCCGCAACGAGCGCAACCCCUAUUGUUAGUUGCCAUCAUUCAGUUGGGCACUCUAGCGAGACUGCCGGUAAUAAACCGGAGGAAGGUGGGGAUGACGUCAAAUCAUCAUGCCCCUUAUGACCUGGGCUACACACGUGCUACAAUGGUUGGUACAACGAGUUGCGAGUCGGUGACGGCGAGCUAAUCUCUUAAAGCCAAUCUCAGUUCGGAUUGUAGGCUGCAACUCGCCUACAUGAAGUCGGAAUCGCUAGUAAUCGCGGAUCAGCACGCCGCGGUGAAUACGUUCCCGGGCCUUGUACACACCGCCCGUCACACCACGAGAGUUUGUAACACCCGAAGUCGGUGAGGUAACCUUUUGGAGCCAGCCGCCUAAGGUGGGACAGAUGAUUGGGGUGAAGUCGUAACAAGGUA
rnacentral:rRNA from 1 species